rnacentral:rRNA from 1 species
UACGAAGGGGGCUAGCGUUGCUCGGAAUCACUGGGCGUAAAGGGUGCGUAGGCGGGUCUUUAAGUCAGGGGUGAAAUCCUGGAGCUCAACUCCAGAACUGCCUUUGAUACUGAAGAUCUUGAGUUCGGGAGAGGUGAGUGGAACUGCGAGUGUAGAGGUGAAAUUCGUAGAUAUUCGCAAGAACACCAGUGGCGAAGGCGGCUCACUGGCCCAUUACUGACGCUGAGGCACGAAAGCGUGGGGAGCAAACAGGG